rnacentral:rRNA from 1 species
UACGGGGGGGCAAGCGUUGUUCGGAAUUACUGGGCGUAAAGGCUCGUAGGUGGCCAACUAAGUCAGACGUGAAAUCCCUCGGCUUAACCGGGGAACUGCGUCUGAUACUGGAUGGCUUGAGUUUGGGAGAGGGACGCGGAAUUCCAGGUGUAGCGGUGAAAUGCGUAGAUAUCUGGAGGAACACCGGUGGCGAAGGCGGCGCACUGGACCACAACUGACGCUGAGGCGCGAAGCUAGGGAGCAAACAG